rnacentral:rRNA from 1 species
ACGAACGCUGGCGGCGUGCCUAAUACAUGCAAGUCGAGCGGACUCUUGGCAAUCUUCGGAUUGCCCUGGGUUAGCGGCGGACGGGUGAGUAACACGUAGGCAACCUGCCUGUAAGACUGGGAUAACCCACGGAAACGUGAGCUAAUACCGGAUAAUUGAUUUUCUCGCAUGAGGAAAUGAUGAAAGAUGGAGCAAUCUAUCACUUACAGAUGGGCCUGCGGCGCAUUAGCUAGUUGGUGGGGUAAUGGCUCACCAAGGCGACGAUGCGUAGCCG